rnacentral:rRNA from 1 species
UGGGGAAUAUUGCACAAUGGGCGAAAGCCUGAUGCAGCAACGCCGCGUGCGGGAUGACGGCCUUCGGGUUGUAAACCGCUUUCAGCAGGGACGAAGGUUUUCUGACGGUACCUGCAGAAGAAGCACCGGCUAACUACGUGCCAGCAGCCGCGGUGAUACGUAGGGUGCGAGCGUUGUCCGGAAUUAUUGGGCGUAAAGAGCUUGUAGGCGGUCCGUUGCGUCGGAAGUGAAAACUCAGGGCUUAACCCUGAGCCUGCUUUCGAUACGGGCGGACUUGAGGGAUGUAGGGGAGAACGGAAUUCCUGGUGGAGCGGUGGAAUGCGCAGAUAUCAGGAGGAACACCAGUGGCGAAGGCGGUUCUCUGGACAUUUCCUGACGCUGAGAAGCGAAAGCGUGGGGAGCAAAACAGGCUUAGAUACCCUGGUAGUCCACGCCGUAAACGGUGGGCACUAGGUGUGGGACCCAUUCCACGGGUUCCGUGCCGUAGCUAACGCAUUAAGUGCCCCGCCUGGGGAGUACGGCCGCAAGGCUAAAACUUAAAGGAAUUGACGGGGUCAUAGCUGUUU